CGGGAGCCCUCACUCGGAUCGUCCGGCACGUUCCUGCCGGUGAGACUAAGGA
rfam:Pseudonocardia sp. 73-21 SCNpilot_cont_1000_p_scaffold_968, whole genome shotgun sequence.